rnacentral:rRNA from 1 species
UACGAAGGGGGCUAGCGUUGCUCGGAAUCACUGGGCGUAAAGCGCACGUAGGCGGGUUCUUAAGUCAGGGGUGAAAUCCUGGAGCUCAACUCCAGAACUGCCUUUGAUACUGGGAAUCUCGAGUCCGGGAGAGGUGAGUGGAACUGCGAGUGUAGAGGUGAAAUUCGUAGAUAUUCGGAAGAACACCAGUGGCGAAGGCGACUCGCUGGACAAGUAUUGACGCUGAGGUGCGAAAGCGUGGGGAGCAAACAGG